UCCGUCACAAAAGAGGUCGUUAAGUUGAAAAAAAAAAGAUAGUAUCUAAUUACCCAGCCUAACCCUAAGCCACCCCACUCCCCACCAUUCUCAUCUCCAAUCUUCUACUCGUCGUCUUCUUCCUCCCACGGAAACCGCCGCCUCAUCUCCUGCUUCCUCCACCCGCUCCGGCCAGGUUUGCCAGCUCACGGAGGAAGAAGCAAAUCAGAUUUGUUUUCAGGUUUUUUUUUUGUUCUCUGUUUUUGAUUCUUCGUUCUUUGAUCUGAUCUUACAACCCUUCCAAGAGAGAGAAAUCGAGUACUCCACACACACCCUGUUCUAUCAUAUGAACCUCUCUCUCUAAUACCAUCGUAAAAGUCUUCCGAUUAGGUUUUCGGACACAAAUUGUGGAACCUUCUUGCAUUUCACAAAUCGUCGAAACCGAGUCGCUUCAGGAUCCACCUCCCCCCGCCGACGACUACUCCGCCCUUGACAAUUCCGGCAGUGACCUCGAAGAAGACGAUAACCCACUCGCUUUCUAUCUUUGAAUUUUCUUCUGAUUUUUUAGCUCUGAUGUGCUUUAAUUAAUUGGCUUUCUUCUCUAAUAAAUUAUGAAAUUAUAAUUAGUUUAGCUAGUUCUUGUAAUUGAUAGUUUUGUUCCAAUAAUAUCCAGGGCAUUUAUAUUAGUCUAAAUUUCUUUUAGCAAGGUGCAUGUAGUUUAAUUUUCACUUAGGAAAGAAGAGGAGAGAUGGUAGGAGUGCUCUUCCUCAACCUUUGACUGUGAUUCAACGCGUUCAUAUCAGCCAGCUAGUUGAUAAAUAUGGAGAUGAUUACAAGGUUUGAUAUUGCUUUAUAUUUUCAGAACUAAUUCAAACAAAGUAAGUUGGGUUAAUAGUUUCUCUAAAAAUAAUUGUAUAUGCAAGGAUUUCUUUAAAUAUCUAGAAACUAGACAAUAUAAAAAGAAAUGAGGAAAGUUGCCUUUAGCGUGCGGAAUGUGAUAAUGGCAUAUUCUUCAAUUCCCCUGUGUCUGGGUUGGCCGGAUCACACAAGUUGAAGAGCGAAAAGCAGCUUGUCUUGCAGCUAAGAUAAUGCCAUUAUAGAAUCUUUUUAUUUUAUUUUUAUUUUUUAUGUUGGUUUAAAGUGGAUUAAUAUAUUAAGCUACUAAUAUUUUCAGGAUUUUCUUACAAGACAGAAACGACCAAAAUCUACAAGGAUAAUCAGGGUCAUUUAAAGUUAUGAACCACAUUCAUUUAAGUCUAAUUUUGACUCUUGGCUAUCAGGAUCCUCUAAUACUGGUGCUGAGGAUGGAAGAGAAAAAGUUGCAGGUGGACAUUGUUUCUUUUGAAGUAACAAGGAAUCGGUGUCAAAGGAAUGACAAAAAGUGCCCCAGUAAAUGAGGAAAUUUCACCUUUGCUUGGAGGAAGUGGAAAGUUGGAGGAAAGAAGAAGAAAAAAGUGUUGACAAAGAGAACUAGUUGAAGUGAAAUUAGAUAUAUAUGGUGUAGCAACGUCAAGCUUCCAAAGUCAGAAGAUCAAUGUAGAUUUACAGGCUUAGUGUUGUAAGAUAUGAGUAAUAAAUGUACCAUGAACCAUGAAUUUGGAUUGUGGAUUGUAAGCCAUCAAUGUAUAUUUGGAUUGUGGAUUAUAAAAUUUGAUGUAUUUAUGAAUUUUGUCUCUUUUAAUUUC